rnacentral:rRNA from 1 species
AUGGAAUUCUUGCUGCAGCCAAUAAACAAAACUCUGCUUGAGGAGGUCAAUGAAAAUAACGGGACAAUGGAGCCCGUGCGGUUCCCUGUGGCCGCGCCGGCGGAGAUUCCUGCUCCUGCUCCGGCCGGUUCAAGUGCGGACGCCCAGAUCUAUCGGCCGGCAGCAUCCUGCGGGGAUAAGGCUCAGGGGUCCGAGCACUCAAUAGAGCAGUUGGACCCAAAGACACCAGGAUGGACGCAAAGGGUGCGUGUAGGUGCUGCUGCUCCAGGAAGGCCUCCUUGUGCGGACAGGAUCACGGCGCUGGAGAAAACCAUUAGAGAGUUUGCGGAUCAUCCAAGAGACAUAGUUAUGGUGCCAAAGAUUGGAACAAGUUUCGACACCCUCGGAGAAGCAUACGACUUUUACAAUUUAUACUCAUGGGAGAAAGGGUUUGGAAUUCGCUACGGAAAGAGUAGGCUGAACGUGAACAGGAGCAAGUGUAUGCAAGAGAUCGUGUGUGGAUGCGCGGGGAAGCCAAUCGUUGAGAGUUCUCGUUCGUGCCAGUGUGAAUGCCCAUCCCUCAUCAGACUAUUCUCGUUCGUGCCAGUGUGA